GGACGGGGCAGCCCCAGGUGUGGCCGGUGAGGAUGACGAGGGCCCUGCUGGGGGGUUUCCCGGGAGCACUUUUUGUAGGGAGCUUCUGCAGGGGAGCCGUGGAUCCAAGGGAGUCUCUCAAGCCAGGAAUUUCCCCGAUAUUUUAGCUCGUAAAACCAAGGGAUGAUCGGUCCUGCCUUGGAAGCAAGAGAAUGUCCUGGUGUCUGUGAAUAUUUUGGGCAUAAAAUUGGAGGUGGUGGAAUUGCCUCUCUGUCCGUGUGCUGAGCUCCGGCUGCAGGGACUGUCAGGCAUUGUUGGCUGUGAGUUCGUGGGGUUCUCCCUGGGUAGUUUAUAGGGUAGAGAUUGAACAUAUUUAGGUAUUAAUGAGGUGAUCAGAUGUGGAGAGGUAGGGAAAUUUUGGGGGUUAAAAUCUGGGACAACCUGUAGCAGAGAGAAUGAAAAUGUUGUGUUGAAACAGAGGUGAUCAGGAGUGGGCUGGAAGGGAAAGUUGUGGGGGCGAGAUAGGAGAGAGUAUCCAUGGCAGAGAAUGAAUAUUU